rnacentral:rRNA from 1 species
AGGACCAGAGUGGACGAACCUCUGGUGUACCGGUUGUGACGCCAGUCGCAUCGCCGGGUAGCUAUGUUCGGAAGGGAUAACCGCUGAAAGCAUCUAAGCGGGAAGCCUACCUCAAGAUAAGAUUUCCCUAGGAAUUUAUUCCUCUAAAGAGCCGUUCGAGACUAGGACGUUGAUAGGUUGGAUGUGGAAGCAUAGUGAUAUGUGAAGCUGACCAAUACUAAUUGCUCGUGAGGCUUGACUAUACAACACCCAAGCAGUUG